UACGGGGGGAGUAAGCGUUGUUCGGAUUUACUGGGCGUAAAGGGCGGGUAGGCGGCCACCGCAAGUCGACUGUGGAAUCUCCGGGCUUAACCCGGAAAGGUCAGCCGAUACUGCGGGGCUAGAGUGCAGAAGGGGCAACUGGAAUUCUCGGUGUAGCGGUGAAAUGCGUAGAUAUCUGGAGGAAUACCGGUGGCGAAGGCGGCAUCCUGGACCGACAUUGACGCUGAGGAGCGAAAGCUAGGGGAGCAAACGGG
rnacentral:rRNA from 1 species